CCUGACGCAGCGACGCCGCGUGGGGAAGAAGGCUUCGGGUUGUAAACCCUUUCAGGAAGGACGAAGCUACUCGGGUGAAUAGCCCAGAGGGUGACGGUACUUCCAGAAGAAGCCCCGGCUAACUACGUGCCAGCAGCCGCGGUAAUACGUAGGGGGCAAGCGUUGUCCGGAUUUAUUGGGCGUAAAGAGCGUGUAGGCGGUUCGGUAGGUCCGUUGUGAAAAACUCGAGGCUCAACCUCGAGACGCCGAUGGAAACCAUCGAACUAGAGUCCGGAAGAGGAGAGUGGAAUUCCUGGUGUAGCGGUGAAAUGCGCAGAUAUCAGGAAGAACACCCGUGGUUAAGGCGGCUCUCUAGUACGGUACUGACGCUGAGACGCGAAAGCGUGGGGAGCGAACAGGAUUAGAUACCCUGGUAGUCCACGCCGUAAACGAUGGGUGCUAGGUGUAGGGGGUGUCGACUCCCUCUGUGCCGAAGCUAACGCAUUAAGCACCCCGCCUGGGGAGUACGGCCGCAAGGCUA
rnacentral:rRNA from 1 species